UGGGUCCGAGUUGUAAUUUGUAGAGGAUGCUUCGGGCCAGGCUGCGGUCUAAUUCGCUUGGAACAGCGGGUCAGAGAGGGUGAGAAUCCCGUCCAGGGCUGCGCGCCGCGUCCAUGUGAAGCUCCUUCGACGAGUCGAGUUGUUUGGGAAUGCAGCUCUAAAUGGGUGGUAAAUUUCAUCUAAAGCUAAAUAUUGGCCAGAGACCGAUAGCGCACAAGUAGAGUGAUCGAAAGAUGAAAAGCACUUUGAAAAGAGAGUUAAACAGUAUGUGAAAUUGUUGAAAGGGAAGCGCUUGCAAUCAGACUUGCGUGCGGCGGUUCCCCCGGUCUCUGGACCGGGUCACUCCGCCUUCACCAGGCCAGCAUCGGUUUGGGUGGCCGGUCAAAGGCCCCGGGAAUGUACCUACCCUCGGGUCGACUUAUAGCCCGGGGUGCAAUGCGGCCCGCCCGGACCGAGGAACGCGCUUCGGCUCGGAUGCUGGCGUAAUGGUUGCAAGCGGCCCGUCUUGAAACACGGACCAAGGAGUCUAACAUCUAUGCGAGUGUUUGGGCGUCAAACCCCUACGCGCAAUGAAAGUGAACGGAGGUAAGAGCCCCGCAAGGGGUGCAUUAUCGACCGAUCCUGAUGUCUUCGGAUGGAUUUGAGUAAGAGCAUAGCUGUUGGGACCCGAAAGGUAAAUUCUCCCCCUCUCUUUCCCAAUCCCUCCCUGAGAUUUUCGGGAGCUCCAUCAAAGUCAAUUGGUAUAGAUUUAGAGAAGCCGGGGUUAAGAGGCGGGAUGACUUUGAUGGAUGUUCUCUUGUUUUCAACUUGUCCCCACCCUAAAACUUUAAUGCUAACAUUUGUUUUCUUCUAGAUGGUGAACUAUGCGUGGAUAGGGUGAAGCCAGAGGAAACUCUGGUGGAGGCUCGCAGCGGUUCUGACGUGCAAAUCGAUCGUCAAAUCUGCGCAUAGGGGCGAAAGACUAAUCGAACCGUCUGGUAGCUGGUUCCUGCCGAAGUUUCCCUCAGGAUAGCAGUAACGUCUUCAGUUUUAUGAGGUAAAGCGAAUGAUUAGUGGUCCGGGGAUUGCAACAAUCUUCUCCAAUUCUCAAACUUUAAAUAUGUAAGAAGUCCUUGUUUCUUAACUG
rnacentral:rRNA from 1 species